UACGUAGGUGGCAAGCGUUGUCCGGAAUUAUUGGGCGUAAAGCGCGCGCAGGCGGUUUCUUAAGUCUGAUGUGAAAUCUCGCGGCUCAACCGUGAGCGGUCAUUGGAAACUGGGAAACUUGAGUGCAGAAGAGAAGAGCGGAAUUCCAGGUGUAGCGGUGAAAUGCGUAGAUAUCUGGAGGAACACCGGUGGCGAAGGCGGCAUCCUGGACCAACACUGACGCUGAGGAGCGAAAGCCAGGGGAGCAAACGGG
rnacentral:rRNA from 1 species